CUUCAGUGUCCCCAAAGGAAUGCCAGUCAAAUCAUCCUUAGAAUUGUUGCAAUGACUGGGAACAAAUAAACACUCUCAACCUGGGAACACUGCUGGACCUCAGACACCUUUCUGUCUUCGACAGUGGGAAGCCCCUGAAAUUUAGGAAAUAUCAAUAGAGCCUGAAAAGAUGGCUAUGAAGUCACCAGCAUGCCUCCGCUUGUCCCGAGGAUGCAGAGAUGUCACGCCUACAUUUUAAGAGAAAUGCUGGUGUGGUGGUAGAGGAAGCAGACAUGAUCAAAGCACCCGGGAUGCACAGUGAAGCCCAUUGUUUCAUAAGAUUGAUACGUGCUACUGGAAAUAAAUGCUUUUUUAAAAAAAGAAAGAAAGAAACAUUAGCACGAGAGAAUGCUUGCCCUAAAAUGGCUGCCGUCCAGCCCAGGUCAGAAAGUAAGGCUCUGGCAUGCCGCUGGGGAUCAGCUGUAAAUGCUCUGUGGAGCUCUCUCACUGUGGUUCCACGUUUUUUCUUCAUAUAUUAAAC
rnacentral:lncRNA from 1 species